rnacentral:rRNA from 1 species
UACGUAGGCAGCAAGCGUUGUUCGGAGUUACUGGGCGUAAAGAGUGCGUAGGCGGUCCGGCAAGUUCGGUGUGAAAUCUCCCGGCUUAACUGGGAGGGUGCGCCGAAGACUGUUGGGCUGGAGUGUGGGAGAGGCAGGCGGAAUUCCUGGUGUAGCGGUGAAAUGCGUAGAUAUCAGGAGGAACACCGGCGGUGUAGACGGCUUUCUGGACCGUAGCUGACGCUGAGACACGAAAGCGUGGGUAGCAAACAGG